UACGGGAAGGUGCAAGCGUUACGUCGGAAUUACUGGGCGUAAAGGGCUCGUAGGCGGCCAACUAAGUCAUACGUGAAAUCCCUCGGCUUAACCGGGGAACUGCGUCUGAUACUGGAUUGGCUUGAGUUCGGGAGAGGGAUGGCGGAAUUCCAGGUGUAGCGGUGAAAUGCGUAGAUAUCUGGAGGAACACCGGUGGCGAAGGCGGCAUCCUGGACCGAUACUGACGCUGAGGAGCGAAAGCCAGGGGAGCAAACGGG
rnacentral:rRNA from 1 species